rnacentral:rRNA from 1 species
UACGUAGGGGGCAAGCGUUGUCCGGAAUUAUUGGGCGUAAAGAGCGUGUAGGCGGCCAGAUAAGUCCGCUGUAAAAUCUCGAGGCUCAACUUCGAGCUGUCGGUGGAAACUAUCUGGCUAGAGUCCGGAAGAGGCGAGUGGAAUUCCUGGUGUAGCGGUGAAAUGCGCAGAUAUCAGGAAGAACACCCGUGGCGAAGGCGGCUCUCUGGAACGCAACUGACGCUGAGACGCGAAAGCGUGGGGAGCAAACAGG